rnacentral:rRNA from 1 species
UAGUUGGUGGGGUAACGGCUCACCAAGCCGACGAUACAUAGCCGACCUGAGAGGGUGAUCGGCCACACUGGGACUGAGACACGGCCCAGACUCCUACGGGAGGCAGCAGUAGGGAAUCUUCGGCAAUGGACGGAAGUCUGACCGAGCAACGCCGCGUGAGUGAAGAAGGUUUUCGGAUCGUAAAGCUCUGUUGUAAGAGAAGAACGAGUGUGAGAGUGGAAAGUUCACACUGUGACGGUAUCUUACCAGAAAGGGACGGCUAACUACGUGCCAGCAGCUGCGGUAAUACGUAGGUCCCGAGCGUUGUCCGGAUUUAUUGGGCGUAAAGCGAGCGCAGGCGGUUAGAUAAGUCUGAAGUUAAAGGCUGUGGCUUAACCAUAGUACGCUUUGGAAACUGUUUAACUUGAGUGCAAGAGGGGAGAGUGGAAUUCCAUGUGUAGCGGUGAAAUGCGUAGAUAUAUGGAGGAACACCGGUGGCGAAAGCGGC